CAAUAGCGUAUAUUUAAGUUGUUGCAGUUAAAAAGCUCGUAGUUGGAUUUCGGUUAAGAGCGACCGGUCCGCCGUUUGGUGUGCACUGGUUGGUUUUAACUUCCUGUAGAGGACGUGCUCUGGGUUUAACGACCUGGACUCGGAGUCUACGUGGUUACUUUGAAAAAAUUAGAGUGUUCAAAGCGGGCUUACGCUUGAAUAUUUCAGCAUGGAAUAACACUAUAGGACUCCUGUCCUAUUUCGUUGGUCUCGGGACGGGAGUAAUGAUUAAGAGGAACAGUUGGGGGCAUUCGUAUUUCAUUGUCAGAGGUGAAAUUCUUGGAUUUAUGAAAGACGAACUUCUGCGAAAGCAUUUGCAAAGGAUGUUUUCAUUAA
rnacentral:rRNA from 1 species